rnacentral:rRNA from 1 species
CGCCAGACUCCUACGGGAGGCAGCAGUGGGGGAUAUUGCACAAUGGGGGAAACCCUGAUGCAGCGACGCCGCGUGGGCGAAGAAGUAUUUCGGUAUGUAAAGCCCUAUCAGCAGGGAAGAAGAAAUGACGGUACCUGACCAAGAAGCUCCGGCUAAAUACGUGCCAGCAGCCGCGGUAAUACGUAUGGAGCAAGCGUUAUCCGGAUUUACUGGGUGUAAAGGGAGCGUAGACGGCGGUGCAAGCCAGAUGUGAAAGCCCGGGGCUCAACCCCGGGACUGCAUUUGGAACUGUGCUGCUGGAGUGUCGGAGAGGCAGGCGGAAUUCCUAGUGUAGCGGUGAAAUGCGUAGAUAUUAGGAGGAACACCAGUGGCGAAGGCGGCCUGCUGGACGAUGACUGACGUUGAGGCUCGAAAGCGUGGGGAGCAAACAGGAUUAGAUACCCGAGUAAA